CGCGUGGAUAAUCUACCUUCAAGUUCGGAAUAACCCGCUGAAAGGCGUGCUAAUACCGCAUAAGACCACACUAACUAAGGCGGUUAAAGGAGGGGACCUUCGGGGCCAGUCGCUCGAGGAGGAGUCCGCGUCCCAUCAGCUUGUUGGUGAGGUAACGGCUCACCAAGGCAAAGCGGGUAACUGGUCUGAGAGGACGAUCGCACAUGCACUGAACACGGCCAGACUCUACGGAGGCAGCAGUGGGAAUAUGCGCAAUGGCGAAGCCUGACGCAGCACGUCGCGUGAGGGAAGAAGGUCUUCGGGUCGUAAACCUCUGUCGGGGGAAGAAAUUUCAGGCGGUUAAUACCCGUCUGGAUUGACGGUACCCCCAAAGGAAGCAUCGGCUAACUACGUGCCAGCAGCCGCGGUAAUACGUAGGAUGCAAGCGUUGCUCGGAAUUACUGGGUGUAAAGAGCGUGUAGGUGGCCAGAUAAGUCAGUGGUGAAAGCCCUCGGCUCAACCGGGGAACUGCCAUUGAUACUGUCUGGCUUGAGUACGGGAGAGGAAAGGGGAAUUCCUGGUGUAGCGGUGAAAUGCGUAGAUAUCAGGAGGAACACCGGUGGCGAAGGCGCCUUUCUGGACCGAUACUGACACUGAGACGCGAAGCGUGGGAGCAACAGAUAGAUACCUGGUGUCCGCCUAACGAUGGCCUAGGUGUGGACUUUAAAGUUCCGUCCGAGCUAAGCAUAGUGCCCGCCUGGGAAGUACGAUCGCAAGGUUGAAACUCAAAGGAAUUGACGGGGGCCCGCACAAGCGGUGGAGCAUGUGGUUUAAUUCGACGCUACGCGAAGAACCUUACCUGGACUUGACAUCUGGAGAACGCCCUGGAAACAGGGAAGUGCCUUCGGGAACUCCAUGACAGGUGCUGCACGGCUGCCGUCAGCUC
rnacentral:rRNA from 1 species